AUUAUAAUAGUUUAUUUAAAACAUUAAUCUUGUAAAUUAAAAAUAUUAUAAUU
rnacentral:tRNA from 1 species